CCAAAAAGGCGAUACGGGUCCACCGUCAACCUCCACGGCACCCUACAAUCCGGAACAGCCUGAACGACCCUGUAAAAAUCCACUCGGCGAACCAGCACGAGCGUAAAUAUAUUCUAAACUACCUGGAAUACUCGUCUCGAAGAUACUGCGACAGUACAAUUUAAUAACGGCUCCUAGAGCUAAAUCAGAUAGUUUAAUCAAAUGACAGGUCCAAAUCGCAGAUUUUCUCCUAAUUCAAUUUCCAAGUCCAACAUGUAUAACCUAUUCAAUUUAUUACCACAUGCUCCGAAUUCAGAUAUACAAUCUACCAUUUAAUUCAUGAAUUCGAGCUAGAAUAGAUUAUCCAAAAAUCGAAACUAUAC
rnacentral:lncRNA from 1 species